rnacentral:pre_miRNA from 1 species
UCUCAUGGAUGAGCAAAGAAAGUAGUUUCUUGAGAUGGAAGCUCCUCCUGGUGAGGAUGCUGUGAA